rnacentral:tRNA from 1 species
GAGUCAUUAGCUCAGUUGGUAGAGCAUCUGACUUUUAAUCAGAGGGUCGCUGGUUCGAAUCCUGCAUGACUCAUCA